CUACGGGGGGCUCCAGUGGGGAAUAUUGCACAAUGGGCGCAAGCCUGAUGCAGCCAUGCCGCGUGUAUGAAGAAGGCCUUCGGGUUGUAAAGUACUUUCAGCGGGGAGGAAGGGAGUAAAGUUAAUACCUUUGCUCAUUGACGUUACCCGCAGAAGAAGCACCGGCUAACUCCGUGCCAGCAGCCGCGGUAAUACGGAGGGUGCAAGCGUUAAUCGGAAUUACUGGGCGUAAAGCGCACGCAGGCGGUUUGUUAAGUCAGAUGUGAAAUCCCCGGGCUCAACCUGGGGACUGCAUCUGAUACUGGCAAGCUUGAGUCUCGUAGAGGGGGGUAGAAUUCCAGGUGUAGCGGUGAAAUGCGUAGAGAUCUGGAGGAAUACCGGUGGCGAAGGCGGCCCCCUGGACGAAGACUGACGCUCAGGUGCGAAAGCGUGGGGAGCAAACAGGAUUAGAUACCCUUGUAGUC
rnacentral:rRNA from 1 species